AAUAUCCAGAUGGAGACUAGAUUCGUUAGACUGGUAUAUUCCAGGGAACAAGGACCGUUUUCUUCUGCGAACAUGCAUUCUGUCACUCACUCAGUUCUUCUGAUCAUCUUAAUAUUCAGAGGGACCAAUGGUGACUCAGUGAACCAGACAGAAGGCCCAGUGACUGUCUCAGAGGGGGCUCUCAUGACUCUGAACUGCACUUACCAGACUGCUGGUUUUGCUGCCUAUCUUUUCUGGAGCUGGAGCCCAGUUGUGACCCAGCCUGAUGACCACAUCACUGUCUCUGAAGGAGCCCGUCUGGAGCUGAGGUGCAGCUACUCAUCUUCUGUUUCACCAUACCUCUUCUGGUCCGUGCAGUACCCGGACCAGGGACCCCAGCUUCUCCUGAAGUACGUGUCUGGAGACAAUCUUGUCUCAGGCAUCAAAGGUUUUGAGGCUGAAUUUAGGAAGAGUGAGAAGUCCUUCCACCUGAGGAAAACACCAGCUCAUUGGAAAGACUCGGCCAAGUCCUUCUGUGCCCUGAGUGACACAGUGCCCGGGGCUGCAGGAGGAGCUGAACACAAACCUCCUGGACCCUGUAGCUCAGUCUUUGUUGUAUUAGGAGGUUGGCAUGUUCUGUGA